UGGGGAAUCUUCCGCAAUGGGCGAAAGCCUGACGGAGCAACGCCGCGUGAGUGAAGACGGCCUUCGGGUUGUAAAACUCUGUGAUUCGAGACGAAAGAUAAGUAGACGAAUAAUCUGCAUAAGUGACGGUACCUAACCAGAAAGCCACGGCUAACUACGUGCCAGCAGCCGCGGUAAUACGUAGGUGGCAAGCGUUGUCCGGAAUUAUUGGGCGUAAAGCGCGCGCAGGUGGUUUAGAAAGUCUGAUGUGAAAGCCCACGGCUCAACCGUGGAGGGUCAUUGGAAACUAAUAAACUUGAGUGCAGGAGAGAAAAGUGGAAUUCCUAGUGUAGCGGUGAAAUGCGUAGAGAUUAGGAGGAACACCGGUGGCGAAAGCGGCUUUUUGGCCUGCAACUGACACUGAGGCGCGAAAGCGUGGGGAGCAAACAGG
rnacentral:rRNA from 1 species